rnacentral:lncRNA from 1 species
CAGACAUCAAUAACACUGCCAGAGCAGCGUCUUUGUCCUUCACAGCCAGAGGGAGCACAGAUCCUGACAUCCUUGGUUUCUGGCAAUAUAAAAAUCCACAAACAUCCACUCGGUCUCCAACAUCACAUACCAACCACCUCUGCCUGGUCUCCUGUGACAGUAUGGCCCAUGGACAUCUUCAUGGUCCUCUGCCAACACAUGAGCCACUGACCAACAUGGCCUCAGGGAGAAGCACAGACGGAUCAUGGAGGUCUUCCGAAGAGGUCCAAUCCAGUAAAUGGUCUAUUCUUCAUCUUGAACAUGACAUUGAUCUCACGAAAGCGCAGGUCAACCACAUAGAAGCAAAGGAGAAGAAUCAACCCGGUAGAAGUGGAAGAAAGAGAAACACGCCUUUCUUCAUAAAGGAUAUACCACGUAUGGAUGUUGAUGAGGUUCCGAAAUCACUCAGUCCUAGAGGUUGUGAGCCAAGACUACUCCAAGAGAGUCCUGGACAAUUUUUUUGUUUUUGAAGAGUGAUAAUAAAAGCGCAUUUUCAUGCUGAAAGUAUAACCA